rnacentral:lncRNA from 1 species
CAGAAAUUUGAAAUGUAAUUUAUGUUUGAGCUCUUAAGAGUAUAUCUUAUUUACACAAGUUGCUGGCAUCCUUACCAGCCUUUUCCACAUACAAUUAUAAUGCAUUUGAUGCCACUGAACAGUAAUAACAUGAAGAACAGGACCCACAGUGUAGACCAGAUUAAGUUUUAAUUCAGCUUUUUCAGCCAUAACCUGAUAAGAAUCAGGCUGGGUCUAGAAGUGAUCAGACUGUGGGACUGUGUUAAUGUUGUGAGUCAGUGUUUACUGCCGGCGUUGCACAGCAAUGCCAGUUUGCAGCCAUGGUUGUGUAUGUGACUUUCUGUAACUACUGUUUAUAUAUAAAACAGUCCAGAUGUUAUGGAAGUAGCUCAUGGUUUUAUCUGGACAAACAGGGUAUGUAAAUUUGUUACAUUUGAAAAAGUGCAAUUAAGGAAAUCCUAGCAUAGGAGGCUCUUUGGAGGAAAAAGUGAAGUGUUUAUAGGACAUGCUAGCAUGACAACACUUUUAAACAUAUACAGAAUUUUGACAAGGUUCAUACAGUGUGAAUUUUUUAAUUCAAGGUUUGCUACUUUGUGUUGAUUUAUAAUUUCAAGGAAGGAAUAGGAACAUUCUACCCAAGGAGAACUGCACAGUUAAUUUUUUGCUGUUAAUUUAAGCUUGCACUUUUCACAAGUAAAAGUCCUUUUUAAAUUUUGUUACAAAUAAAAACCAUUUUUCUAGACAGGUAAUGGUUUCCUAAUGUGGAAAAGAGAAAUAGAUCCCACUAAAAAAGCAAAACACCUUAAUUAAUUGUGCCUUCUCUCUUAAAUUGUAGGAAUAAUAAUUAGUUAAAAACUUAUUUAAACUCGUUUUUGCCCUGACUCCCCUCAUUUGUACUUGCCCGUCCCUCCACAGUUGCACUGUUUUCGCCUGUUUGCUGUCGGUUCCUUUGGCCAGACCUCACUGUCACUGUCAGAAAUUGUUCACCAGGUGUGUCUGUUUAUGUCGCUUCACUUUUUCAGUCACCUUGGUAAAAGUUUGGCUGCCUUCUCAUGGCUUUAAAAUGAAAGCAAUGAAUAGCAAUCUUUAUAUUUCAACCCUUUAAAAAGUUUGUAAAGGAAAGAAAUAAUGCAGAGCAAAGAACA